CUGAUGUUGUACUUCCCCUUGAUCCGGAUCUCCUCGGCUUUGAGUUUCUCCUCCUCGCGCAUCUCGUGGUCCGACUCGAGGGCGUCGAAGACGGCGGCGCCCACCAGCAGAUGGGAACACGGCCCGGGGACACCGGACAGUUACCAUCUAGAAACCACUCCUGAGCCUCUGCCGGCUUCCGUCCAGCACCUCCUUCAACAGCUCCAGCUCCCUUCUGACCCCAAAGUCACAGCGCCUUGGAUAGCCACAGCCCAACCUCUCCAAAAACAAAACAAGACAAAAACCUUGGUUCUUCCUUUUCUCCCAAAAUAUGGCCUUUGGACUCAAAAGAAGCCCAGAGAGCCAGACUUCGGGGAGGGAUCCUGAGGGCUGGAGGAGGACACACACGGGCUCCCACACAGCCCUCUCUGCACCCCACAUCCCUCCCAUGGUCUUGACCUACAGGUGGACGCGAGCUCCGUGAAGCAGAACCUGGCUCUGGCGAGUCUUCCCAGCACUGUGUCCCCAGCGCUCUCCGCCGCACUCGCUCAGCUAGCAGUGUGGCUGGUACCACUGACAGGCCACAAAGAGGUUAGAGCAGUGACCAUGCCUCUGGGGAGCCCAAGCCUCUCGCUACUUCCACGGUUCUGGGAGCACCAGCUCCAGCCCAGACAGGAGUGGAUCUGGAGCUCCGCUGUGGCCAAUGAGAGCCCAGGAUUCCCCCUGACCCCACAGAUUGGCUGGGCGGGGCUCAGCUCCCAACCAAUGAGGAGCUCCCUGGGAAAGCAUCUCUAAGAGGAGCUAGAGCGAAGUAGGGGCCUGGAGGGGUGGGCAGGAAAGUAUCUCCGCACCCAAGAAAGAGAUGCCUGAUUUGGGGCAGCAAUGCAUUCUCUGUGCGGCUUAGGCCACUCAGGGCUGACCAGUGCCGCUGGCGUCCUGUCUGUGCUCCUCCAGUGGUCUGUCACUGGGCCUCCCUGGACCUCAGUGUCCUCUUUAGUAAAAACAGUUGUCUUUGAUCAGAUACCAAAGAACAUCAUGGCUCAUAACUCUCUUUCUCCUGCCUACUCGUUCGCUAGGUUCUCUACAUGCGUUGGGCAUAUUCUUAGCCUCUAGGGGCUGAGGAGUAUGACCCCAUCUUAUCCAGAGAAGCCAAGCAGUGUUUUCUGGCCCCACUUGGUGAGCUGGAGUGGAAUCGACUCUCAGCCCAGCCCUUCCGCAGCAGCACUCCGUGAAACCCAUCCUGCUGCUGGCGGAAGGCAGGGAGCUACAGUGUGCUGGCUGGGCUCCGGGGCUGGUGCCCGUGUGCCUCUGGGCAUACUCACCAGUGCUGGCCCAGGACUGACGGCCGAGGCUUCCAGAUCAUCACAUCUCUGUGGUGCUGCUCACGCCUUGACAUGUUAACGCCCCCAUCUUUGAAAAGAGGCAGAGGAGGCGGAAUCGUUGCCCCCAUUUUGCAGAUGAGAAAGGUGAGGCAGUAAGCCCCUUGGGCCCCAGUCACAAAUAGAGAGAAGAGAAAGCUGUGAUGGGAUCCUCCCCUUUCCCUGGGGGCCACUGCCAGCACUCUGGGUUCCUCCCUGCAGCCCUAGGUUUACCAGCCCUCACUGAUGGCUCAUGGGCCAUGUCUGCACUUGAAGCCCCCAGCAGGGGCUAAUGCCAGAGGGAAGCGCUCUGUAAGCAGCAGCCAGGUCCACCAGGAGCUUGCCAGACUCUUUGGGAUAUGAAUAAGCAUGUCCCCGGGGAAGUGUCUCUGGCCGCACUGGGGACGCUGGUUCAACAGGAAAAUUCAGGAUUUCUCAGAGCCCUCAGUCUGCCAGCAGGCACCGUGGGCCCAGACAGGAGUGCUGUGAACAGCAUUUCCCAGAUUGGUUGGAUCACGGAAUCUGCCUCUGGGCACAGAGCUGGCCUCAGAGCCAGGUCCCAAGCCACUCUUUGGGAACCACGACCCCAGCCCGGGUUGCUGGGCAGAGAGGGGUAGGAAGCCUGGAUCCCACUUCUGGACCCACACUGGCAACCCCUCCUCCAGCUCGGGUCCUGGCGGCCUGUAGCCCCUCUCUCCUCUGCCUGCAACUACCUCUGAGCACGCAGGCUCUUGCACUCCCCCGCUGAAAACCCUCCAGGAGCUCCUGGCCAAACCUCGGCCCACCCUCGGCGUCAGCACCCUCAGCCCCUGCCUCCAUCCCCCCUCCUGCGGGGCAGCCUUCAGCACAACGGUCCUCACAGCACCCAGCACCUCUGUGCCUUGUUCAUGCUGUUCCCUCUGCCUGCGUACCUUUCCCUGUCCUCUUCGGGCUCUCAUCUGCUCAUCUUUCAAGAUUCAGCUGCGGCAGCACGUCCUCCAGGAGCUUCCCCGGUCCCCAGGCUGGCCGAGGCUCCCGUGUCCCUGCACAUACUCCUGUCCCAUCUCCCCUGCCGGACUCAGCUCCUCGAGUGAGGGCUGUGCCUGCCUCGUCUUGGUCGAGCAGGGCCUGCCGCUUGGCAGGUAGCCAGCAGGUGCACCGCUUGAUGGCAAUGAAAGGGCAGGGUCAGGUUCACUCACCCGCAGGUCUGAGGUCAUCGCCCCACAUGAGGUCUCUCUUAGGAAAGCAGGAAGACGUAGAUGCACAGAACAGAGAGGGAAGCGUGCUGUGCAGAUGACAGAUGUGGCUGCCGGCCAGGAUCCUGUAGGUCCCCACACUUUAGGCCGUGACUCUGAUGUCACUGGGGGUCCAGUGCAGUGAGGGAAGAGGAGAAAGAGCAAGAAAGACGUAGAUGGAGAGGGAGAAGAUGCUACGGGAGAGGCUCAGGCAGAGGAAGGGGUGGGGACGGGGUCUGCGGGGGGGGGGGGGUGGUCAAGGGCCCCCAGGACUGGAACGAGUAGAUGGGCGACCUUCCCUGGGCCUCUGCCCAUGGCAGACAUUGCUAAUCGAUCCCAGCCCUGUCUUUGGCCGAGAGGAUCUUGAACACAGGCAUGUACACAGGGCUCAUCCUGGGCCCAGCACUGACCUGUUUCCCUUCAAGGCCGUCACCAGUCUGGCCUCCGCGGAGAUGACAAAGAAGAGCCUGCACACAACAUGAGAGGACAUAGGGAGCCAUGGUCGGUUCUUGAGCAGGAGAGUGGCGCCGUGAUAGUGGCGUACGGCCCUCUGCUGUGCUGAUCCUGGACGGCAAACCAGCCAGUCCUCCCAGACUCAGGGGCACGUGGCGGACAAAGGAAGCACUGGGAGGCAAAGCCAGGCUAAGGUGCCCGUCUUUCAAGCCGAGGACACCUCCAAAGCUCCAGGUGCGCGCGCACGCGCGCACACACACACACAUACACACACACUUUAUUAGAGGAUGGGUGGUUAGUGGACUUCAGGUGUCUUAAUGGGGCCCAUCCCCACGUGGGCCUGGCCCGCGAAGAGCUCCACCGCCUUCCCGAGGAGCCUAGGUGCUGCCAGGGUCAGUGCGGGAAUCCCGGAGUCUUCCCAGCCUGCAGCUGCCGCUUGGGGCCCCCGGGGCCGCCAGAACCUGGGCCCCCGGGGAGGGUCUCCCGAACAGGGUCCUCCGCGGCAGGGUGCCCCAGGCAGCUGGCUAUUCUAAACCCGGGCUCAGCAGAGCCCCCAGGGCAGCAGGAGGGCCCAGCGCCCCGCCUCCGCUGCCGGGUCCCUGGGACUUGGCAGGACAGAGGCUCCGGGUGUUUGCUGACUGGAUUAAUGAAAUGGAUUCGGGAACAACAACCCCACAUGGCCCGGAAAUGGCCCUGGCGACCUCUCUCUUGGGCAGUUUCCCACCACCCAGUGCCUGGAAUGAUCUGAUGUUCACAGGGAGGAGACGUGUGUGGAACCCAGCCCCCUGCCUCCUUAAAAUAAAUAACACAAUAAUAAUACUGAAUAAA